UGGGGAAUUUUGCGCAAUGGGCGAAAGCCUGACGCAGCAACGCCGCGUGGGUGAUGAAGGUCUUCGGAUCGUAAAACCCUGUCGUCAGGGACGAAGGUUGCGAGUUUAAGAGAUGCGCAACUUGACGGUACCUGGAGAGGAAGCCCCGGCUAACUCUGUGCCAGCAGCCGCGGUAAUACAGAGGGGGCAAGCGUUAUUCGGAAUGCUUGGGCGUAAAGGGCGCGUAGGCGGUUUGUUAAGUCAGAUGUGUAAUCCCCGAGCUCAACUUGGGAACUGCAUCUGAGACUGGGAGGCUAGAGUACUGGAGAGGGUGGUAGAAUUCCACGUGUAGCGGUGAAAUGCGUAGAGAUGUGGAGGAAUACCAGUGGCGAAGGCGGCCACCUGGACAGUAACUGACGCUGAGGCGCGAAAGUGUGGGUAGCAAACA
rnacentral:rRNA from 1 species